UGAAGAGUGCACACGGAGGUGACGGGGUGCGGCCCAGGGUCGCCUGUGCGGGAGGCCGGGAGGCGGAGCAGAAGUGAAGGGAAAGCCGCAGACAGACCACCGCGGGGGAGGAAGAGCGAGGGAGCCACUCUUGGCACGAACUGGGACUGGCGCAGAGGCUGCAGACUCUGCCCGGCCUACCUCUGCUCCGCGCAGCAGCCGGAGGACGCGCGGCAGAAACCAGCCCGUGGCUCUCAAAGGCUCAAUGCCUUCAUCUCCUUUGAUUUUCUCUCAAGUAGCUCCUGAUCACGCGGGUCUCCCUCGGAACUCGUGGGUGGGCAGAGCUGCUCCGAUCAGGAGCCCAGGACCCAGGACUGCGCCCGGCAGGGCCUACGCAGCGGGGGUGCUGGCUCCUUCUGCACACCCACGGCCUCGGCCGGGCUGCCACACACAGGUUCCCAUGGGAGCAAUCUCGGCCAGGCCAGCAGGAAGCCGGUCCUGCCCAGUCCUCCUGACCUGGGGAACUGAAGGAAGCUGCUGCUCCCAGGCGAGGGGCCCUCGGCUGAGGUUCUGGGCCCCGAGCCCCAGGACAGCCAAAUUCAACGUGGAACCUGCGCCAUGACUGUCAGUGAUGAAGGCGGCAGCUCGACCAUGACUACUCUCGAACAUGCUGCUCAGGAGCAAGAACAUCUGACUUUCAGAAAGGGGCAGAUUAAAUUCUCUCAUGGCCCUUUGGAAGUUCGGGAGCUGAAGAAGCAUACAUAGCAGGCAUAAUUUUAAGGACACCCAAGGCUUGUUGGAAUUGGCAGGAAUCUGAGAAAAGCAGAGCUGAACACAGCACAAUAAAAGGACAGCUACCUGGAAAGAUCACUUUGACAAAUCAUAAAUCUACUUUUUAAAUAUCCCAACUUCAUGCUACUUCUCACUGCCCUUUGAAACUUCACUACCCUCCUUCCUGACUUAGAAAACAGCACAUGAACAGUGCAGUGUUGCCUGAUGGCUUUCCAAGGUGACCAUAGCAGUAAUAACACUGGUCACGCACCCUUCUCAGUGCUUCACAGAGGCGAUCACACUGAGCCCAGAUCCAGCACAGUGGUACUGUUGUCACCUGCAUCUUACACACCAGGAAACUGGAGGUCUGAGAGAUUCAGCUGUCACAAACACAGCAAGCGGCAGGGCCCAGGUUCAGACCCAGGUGAUCGCGUCCAGGACGAAUCCUAACCUCCACCUGCUGCAAACAGCAGAGCAGACAGGGAAGGGCGGCCAGAGGCUCUGGAUCCACCUAGGUGGAGAGAAUGGCCAGAUUGGUGUGGUCUUUGAAAAGUAUGUCCACUUGGAAAAAGCCAGCACUUCAGGGUAGCUGUCGAUCCUGUCACCCAUGGUGCAACAGGGGAAGAGCGGGCGUGCGCGCUUUCUUCUGCCACAAGCCUCUCUUUUCUCCCAAUGCUCCCUCCCCACUUGUCUUCAUGAUGUCCAACUGCAUGGUUACAGAUGCCUCUGCUUCCUGCACAGAUCUUUACAAGGAGAAAAGGACAUCGUAUCAAACUUCCCCUGGGGGCGUUAAAAUUAGGAGUCUUCUAAAUCAUGCUACUAGCGAGACUGCAAACACUUACCCUAGGUGGCUUUGGUAUGGGGUCAAAUCUAUUAACACUGCACACUACACUGCAUGUUUUACGUAGUCUGUGGUAGGGUUUGCCAAACAGCAAACAUGGGCUGGAGCGGAGGGGUCUCUGGGAGACUGACAGUGAGCAAGGCUCUCUAGGAUCCGGGCCUCCAUUCUGAAGUCGGCUCUGCCACUAGGUGGUGAUGUGAGCUCCAGAACGAACAGUCCUGGCGUCUCAGCUGCACCCACAGUGAACCGUGAACCGAAUGAGCGGAGUCAGCUACCUCUACGCUCCUCAGUACUGCUCCGUAGUCAGGCUUUGCUCUAGUACUGGCAGCGGACGACUUCCUGUCUAAGGCGGAAGAGAGACUUCUGCACUCGCCGGCCACCCUGCCUGCUCAGAGGAGGCCCCUGAAGGGCGUGGGUGCAGGUGUCACGGAGCCAUCCGGGGUGGCGGACUGCCAAGACUCCAAGGCAUCUCAGUGCCCUGGUCAGGUCUUCAGGUUGGGGAUUUUAUGACUUUGUAAAUAGG
rnacentral:lncRNA from 1 species